rnacentral:lncRNA from 1 species
AGUAGAAAAAGCAGAUGAGUGAUGUUGAGAAGAGCCUUUGCCUGUGAUUCUUCCUAUCCUUAUUUGGUUCAGUUCCUGCUGUCAAUCAGCUUGGUCCCCUGUCAUGCAUCAGCCUCUGGAUGAACUCUCAGCCCAUUUUCCUAUUGCCUUUAUCUGCUGAUUAAAUGGAGACUGCAGAGCAAUGCUGAAAAUUAUAUAGAACAACUUCAAAGAAAUUAUUUCAGAAAAAU